rnacentral:rRNA from 1 species
GGUGUCCCCGGCGUAGGGGAACCACACCAAUCCAUAUCUGAACUUGGUGGUUAAACUCUACCACGGCGACGAUACUGCCGGAGGGGUCCUGCGGAAAAAUAGCUCGGUGCCAGAUU